rnacentral:rRNA from 1 species
UACGUAGGGUGCGAGCGUUGUCCGGAAUUACUGGGCGUAAAGAGCUCGUAGGUGGUUUGUCGCGUUGUUCGUGAAAACUCACAGCUUAACUGUGGGCGUGCGGGCGAUACGGGCAGACUGGAGUACUGCAGGGGAGACUGGAAUUCCUGGUGUAGCGGUGAAAUGCGCAGAUAUCAGGAGGAACACCGAUGGCGAAGGCAGGUCUCUGGGCAUUAACUGACGCUGAGGAGCGAAAGCAUGGGGAGCGAACAGG